rnacentral:rRNA from 1 species
CACGUAGGGCGCAAGCGUUGUCCGAAAUUAUUGGGCGUAAAGAGCUCGUAGGCGGUCUGUUACGUCUGCUGUGAAAACCCAGGGCUUAACCCUGGGCUUGCAGUGGAUACGGGCAGACUAGAGGCAGGUAGGGGAGAAUGGAAUUCCCGGUGUAGCGGUGAAAUGCGCAGAUAUCGGGAGGAACACCGGUGGCGAAGGCGGUUCUCUGGGCCUGACCUGACGCUGAGGAGCGAAAGCGUGGGGAGCGAACAGG